CGACGACGCAACGCCGCGUGGAGGAUGAAGAUUUUCGGAUCGUAAACUCCCGUCGAGUGGGAAGAACAGCUUUUGGAUAAACAUUCCGGAAGCCUGACGGUACCACUAAAGGAGCCCCGGCUAACUCCGUGCCAGCAGCCGCGGUAAUACGGGGGGGGCAAGCGUUGUUCGGAAUUACUGGGCGUAAAGGGCUCGUAGGCGGCCAACUAAGUCGGAUGUGAAAUCCCCAGGCUCAACCUGGGAACUGCAUCCGAUACUGGAUGGCUUGAAUUCGGGAGAGGGAUGCAGAAUUCCAGGUGUAGCGGUGAAAUGCGUAGAUAUCUGGAGGAAUACCGGUGGCGAAGGCGGCAUCCUGGACCGACAUUGACGCUGAGGAGCGAAAGCUAGGGGAGCAAACGGGAUUAGAUACCCCGGUAGUCCUAGCCCUAAACGAUGAAUGCUUGGUGUAACGGGUAUCGAUCCCUGUUGUGCCGAAGCUAACGCAUUAAGCAUUCCGCCUGGGGAGUACGGUCGCAAGGCUG
rnacentral:rRNA from 1 species